rnacentral:rRNA from 1 species
UGACCUAAGUUCAACGGCCGCGGUAUCCUAACCGUGCGAAGGUAGCGUAAUCACUUGUUCUUUAAAUGGGGACUAGUAUGAAUGGCAUCACGAGGGUUAAACUGUCUCCUUUUUCUAAUCAGUGAAACUAAUCUCCCCGUGAAGAAGCGAGGAUAACUUUAUAAGACGAGAAGACCCUAUGGAGCUUAAAACAAAUUUACACCUGCUUUAUUACACCCACCUUCCCGAAUACUUACACAAACUAUAGCAUGCUUGAUAAAUAGUUUUCGAUUGGGGUGAUCAUGGAGAAAAAAAUAACCUCCACGACGACAAGGGAGUUUCCCUGAGCCAAAAGCCACAACUUUAAGCACUAAAAAAUUAACGCACUUUGACCCAAUUACUUGAGCAACGAACCAAGUUACCCUAGGGAUAACAGCGCAAUCCACUUCAAGAGCUCCUAUCGACAAGUGGGCUUACGACCUCGAUGUUGGAUCAGGGUAUCCCAGUGGUGCAGCCGCUACUAAA